ensembl:lncRNA
UGGGUGGCCUGCUUUUAUUCCCUUAUCUGGCCUCACCUACAUUCUGCUGAUUGGUCCAUUUCACAAAGAGCUGAUUGGUCUGUUUUACAAAAUGCUAAUUGGUCCGUUUUGACAGAGUGCUGAUUGGUGCAUUUACAAACCUUUAGCUAGACACAGAGCGCUGAUUGGUGCAUUUACAAUCCUUUAGCUAGACAGAAAAGUUCUCCAAGUCCCCACCGGACCCAGAAGCACAACCGGCUGGCACUCAUCAAGAGAGUUUGCUGCACCUAGCCCAGGUGCGCCUGCAGUGCAGAGCGAGCUCCUCCCAGUCAAUCAAGAGGAAAAGAGAGGAAGCGAGAAAACCACGGAGACCUGCUAUGGUGGCCAACGAUCCCGCAAAGAGGGAACCGCGGUCCACUCACGGGAUUCAGCCUCCCGUCAAGCCCAGCAGGCGCAGGCCGCGCCCAGUGCGGGGCUUGCCCAGCCACUGAACCCGGUCCAGCCCCGGAGCGCCGCGCCUGCCUCUGUCUUCACACUUCCCCGCCAGCAGAGGGAGCCAGCUCCGGCCUUGGCGAGGCCCAGAGAGGGGCCUUCCUAACGCAGCGGCGGGCUGAGGGGCUCCUGGAGCGCCGCCAGAGCAGACACGGAGACCGAGGAGGCACCGAGAGCCAGCGAGGGCUGCUAGCACGUUGUCACCUCUCAAAGCCAUCAAUAUGUAUUCCAAUAUAGAGAUGGAUGGUCUACGUGAUUACACUUAGCAGAACUGAACCUGUGGCAUUGUAUGACAUUUUCACUUCACUUUAUGUAUUGUCAAAGCCAAGUAGCACUGGGUAAGUAUCUACCAAUAAGGCAGAGAUCAAUUCCUUAAUAUGUGGAUGUUUUCUGUAUUUUAAUUUCCUGGAACAAACAAAUAUUUUAAAAGUAGCUUAUCUCUAUGUCUUUUGAAGAGAAGUGGGUCACUUUAUGAAUAUAUAAGUUCUCUGUUGCCCUGUUUACUUCUAAGAACACCAUCCCUUCUCCAUCCAUCCACAUGAUUUGGGCCUGCUAUUUAUUUUCCAUUCUUCCUUAUAUUAGUUAUCACCCCCACUAUGUAGUCCCUACCCUACUCACAUCUACAAAUGAAGAUCCUUUUUUUCUGCUUCCAACUGACUACUUUCCAUUCUACAUUAGAUUUUAAGCUAUGAGUUUGUGGUAAAUUUAGGAAAAAUCUGAGGGACUUUGAAAUGUAAUGAGUGUGCUGACCAACUUCACCAUUCAUUGUCUCUACUUUUGAUUGUUGUUAACCAUUUUACAGCUUCAGACAAAUUGUGUCUUAAAAACACAAAUUUUCCAGUAAAGUGCAGUUGAUCAUCACUCUGUGAAUAUUGACUAGGUUUUCUAUUCAUUUAUAAAUUCAUUUCAGCAUUGGUUUUCUGACUAAAAAUAUGUGGCAUUUUGAAAUCUAUUUUGAUCCAAUUGUAAUAUCUUACUGGUUUCUUCAGUAAUUAAUGAAUAAGAUAUUUUAUGAAGUAAUUUAUAUCUGUGUGAAAGUCAUUAUAUUACCUAUUUUAAAACAUUUUAAUAAGAAAGUUGCAUCUCGUUCUCUGUACUAUCUGAUUUUCAGAAAUUCUGGCAAAUUUCUGGCACAGAAAAGUACCAUGUAAGUAUUAAAUGAACUGAUUAAUUAUUUUCAAGCGUUAUUCUUGGGAUGUAGUGCUGUUGACCUGUGUUACAGACAGAGAUUCUAGCACAGGUUUAAAUAGAAACCUAGACCCAAGUCAAGAUGCAUUCACAUAAAAAAUACCCAUAUUCUUGAUCACUAAAGGAAUCUCAGAGAUUUGGUUGGUUUUAAAUUUGAUUCUCAAGGCUAAAUCAUUUUUGGCAGAUGUUGACUAAAAAGGAAGCUUUAGACAUCUCAAAAUGUUAGUUUGUUGAAAGUUAAUAUUCCCAGUACAAUGUAUUUUCCAUAAGUUUCCAAUAAAUCAGACCUAUGGCUGAAGACAAGUUGCAGUGAUUUUGUAAGCUUUCCAAAAUUCACUAUCAAAAGUGUUAAUGUUGGUUUCUGCACCUACAAUCUCCAAGAGUACAUUAGUAGAAGCAACUGCUGUUUAUUAAUCCCCUUUCCUUGAGGCAUACUUUUAUUUCUCCAAGACUCUAUUCUCAUUACAGUUUUUUGAUACCUCACUUUCUUCUUCUUCAUGGUUAUAUUCUUCCUAUGGCUAUAUAGUAGCCAUAAAAAUAAUAAAAUUUACAUAAUAGCAGCAUGUAC